UGGGGAAUAUUGCACAAUGGGAAGGACCCUGAUGCAGCGACGCCGCGUGAGUGAAGAAGUAUUUCGGUAUGUAAAGCUCUAUCAGCAGGGAAGAAGACGACGGUACCUGACUAAGAAGCCCCGGCUAACUACGUGCCAGCAGCCGCGGUAAUACGUAGGGGGCAAGCGUUAUCCGGAUUUACUGGGUGUAAAGGGAGCGUAGACGGAGAGGCAAGUCUGAUGUGAAAGGCAGGGGCUCAACUGCGGGACUGCAUUUGGAACUGUAUGGCUGGAGUGCAGGAGAGGCAGGCGGAAUUCCUAGUGUAGCGGUGAAAUGCGUAGAUAUUAGGAGGAACACCAGUGGCGAAGGCGGCCUGCUGGACUGUAACUGACGUUGAGGCUCGAAAGCGUGGGGAGCAAACAGGAUUAGAUACC
rnacentral:rRNA from 1 species